CCACACCUACCAAUUAUGGCCAUCGAGUACUGACGAUCAAAGCGAGGGACCUGGAGGCUGGAAAGGCACUCAAGUCAUGGUAGCUAGCUCUGGGGACCUGGCCACUGAUCUGAUGGUCAGCCAUAGAUUAUCAAACUAAAGGAUUGUUAUUGUGGAGAGCACACUUGCACACCAAAACUAGUAUCAGCACCUUAUUUUACAAUCCUAAUGUUACUGGAUUCAUUCACUCCUGUUACUGUAAUUAAAUGCGUGCAUAAUGAUGGUUAGGAAAAGUAAUUUUAGAGUCACUUCCAUUUGAUAUACUAUUACCGUAGGCGGAGGGACUCCAUCAGAGUGUCAUAUUAUGCCUCAGGUCGUUCAUGGUACUGGAGAUGAGGGUCUAAUGUAUUUCAGCUAGCAUGUCUCGGAAGACAGAAAAUCUUUAAAACUUAACAAUCAAAACUUUUGGCAGCAUUGAUUUGCAGUUUGCACAUAGAUACAUAAUAUACAUGUAACUAUUUUAAUUGUUUGUACAAAAAAGAUUAUUAUAGUGUG